rnacentral:rRNA from 1 species
AUGAGCUCGUCGGCUUCCAGGAGGGAGGCGGCGAGGAGCGGGGAGCUCGGGCGGACGUGCGGAGCGGACGGCCCUCCCCCGAGGCCGGCCCCCAAGGCGCGGAGCGGGGAGCUGCUGCUGCCGCCCAAGGGCGGCGCCGAGGCGGCUGCGGCGGCGGCGGUGCGGCACGAGGGGUGGAUGGUGCGGUACGGGCGGCGGAAGAUCGGGAGGUCCUUCUUCCACACCCGCUACUUCGUGCUCGACAACAAGCUCCUCGCAUACUACAAGAAGCAGCCCAAGGACAACAACAUGGUGCCACUUAAGUCUCUUCUAGUAGAUGGGAACUGCAGAGUGGAGGAUAGAGGGCUUAAAACACAUCAUGGGCAAAUGGUUUACGUUCUGUGUGUCUACAACAAGAAAGAAAAGGACAAUCCAAUCACGAUGGGUGCACGUAAUAUCGAGGAGGCCCUAGUGUGGAAAAAGAAGAUAGAGCUCCUUAUCGAUCAGCAACAGGACACUAUGACAGCUAAAAACCGUAAAGCUUUUGCGUCACUGGACUUUGACAUGGAUCUUGGAGGACCGCUUUCAUUCUCUGACCCUGAUAGUGGACCUGAAGACGAAGAGGAACCCCGUCCCAUGCUGCUUCGUAGGACAACUAUAGGGAAGGGCCUUCCUGAUUCUGUACAUGACUGGACCAAAGAGCCUGAUAUUGGUCUGUCAAAUCAGAACGACACCAAUCAAGCUAAUUCUAGAAAGAACUGGCGGCUGCUUAGAUGCCAGAAUGGGUUGCGCAUCUUUGAAGAACCUGUGGAGGUCGAAUACCUUGCAAGAAGCUGUAGCCGAUCAAUGAGGGCUGUUGGUGUCGUGGAAGCCACAUGUGAAGCCAUUUUUGGGCUGAUAAUGAGUAUGGAUGUAACAAGAUAUGAGUGGGAUUGUAGCUUCCAGUAUGGGAGUUUAGUUGAAGAGGUUGAUGGUCACACUGCAAUACUAUAUCAUCGGCUACAGCUGAACUGGUGUUCAAUGGUUGUCUGGCCACGAGAUCUUUGUUAUGUACGAUAUUGGCGGCGCAAUGAUGAUGGAAGUUAUGUUGUGCUGUUUCGAUCUACUGAACACCCGAACUGUGGUCCCCAACCAGGAUUUGCGAGGGCUUCUAUUGAAAGUGGAGGUUUCAAGAUCACUCCUCUCAAAUCCGUGAAUGGAAGACCUCGCACUCAAGUUCAACACCUUAUGCAAAUUGAUCUCAAGGGAUGGGGUGUGAAUUACGUCACAUCAUUCCAGUACCACUCUGUGCUGCAGAUGCUGAACUGCGUUGCUGGAUUGCGUGAAUACUUUUCCCAAAAUGAUGACGUUCACACAAUUCCAAGGAUCCCUGUGAUGAAUACUAUGGCUAGUGUGCCCACUGUUAGAAAGGAUCAGAAACAUCAAAAGGCUGACUCAAAGACCAAACAAGCAGACUCGGCUAACGAAAAUUCGGAUAUGAUAGAUGAUGAGUCAGAAGAUGAUGAUGACUUUCAAGCUCCCGAAUCUAGCUUGGAGGAAGAUGGCAAUGUUGACAGUGACGCAAAGGGCUCUGAUCCAAUAGAUUUGUCCUGCUUUUCGGGCAUUAUUCGUCAGGAUGCAAAUGAGAAAAGCCGUAACAGUUGGUCGGUACCUGAUAGCAAUAUCUUCAAAGUCCGUAGCAAGAACUUUUCACAUGACAAAUCAAAGGUAUCUGCAGGGAAGUACCUUAUGGAGCUUGUCGCAGCUGACUGGUUUAAGGAUACCAAACGUAUGGAUCAUGUUGCCAAGCGUAAAGGAUGUGCUGCUCAGGUUGCUGCUGAGAAGGGGAUGUUCAGCUUUGUAGUAAACAUACAAAUUCCCGGGUCCACUCAUCACAGUCUGAUCCUCUACUUCGUCACAAAUUCCUUGAAAAAAGGAUCGCUCUUGCAGCGUUUUGCUGAUGGCGAUGAUGAUUUCCGGAACAGCAGACUGAAGCUUAUCCCAUCUGUUCCAAAGGGAUCCUGGAUAGUUCGACAAAGCGUUGGAAGUACCCCUUGCUUAUUGGGAAAGGCCGUUGAUUGCAGCUAUAUCCGCGGUCCGGAGUACAUUGAAGUUGAUGUAGACAUUGGAUCCUCAGCAGUAGCCAAUGGCGUUCUGGGAUUGGUCUUUGGUGUAGUUACCAGUUUGGUAGUCGAUAUGGCUUUUCUCAUACAGGCAAACACGUACGAUGAGCUCCCGGAGCAACUCAUAGGCGCCGCACGGUUCUCGCACAUCGAACCCUCCGCAGCAGUAGUUCCCGUGCUCGAUGACACUUCCUCAGCUGUGGAGUGA